rnacentral:rRNA from 1 species
CGAAAGUCUGACGGAGCAACGCCGCGUGAGUGAUGAAGGUUUUCGGAUCGUAAAACUCUGUUGUUAGGGAAGAACAAGUACCGUUCGAAUAGGGCGGUACCUUGACGGUACCUAACCAGAAAGCCACGGCUAACUACGUGCCAGCAGCCGCGGUAAUACGUAGGUGGCAACGUGUCGGAUAUUGGGCGUAAGCGCUCGCAGGCGGUUUCUUAAGUCUGAUGUGAAAGCCCCCGGCUCAACCGGGGAGGGUCAUUGGAAACUGGGGAACUUGAGUGCAGAAGAGGAGAGUGGAAUUCCACGUGUAGCGGUGAAAUGCGUAGAGAUGUGGAGGAACACCAGUGGCGAAGGCGACUCUCUGGUCUGUAACUGACGCUGAGGAGCGAAAGCGUGGGGAGCGAACAGGAUUAGAUACCCUGGUAGUCCACGCCGUAAACGAUGAGUGCUAAGUGUUAGGGGUUUCCGCCCUUUAGUGCUGCAGCAACGCAUUAAGCACUCCGCUGGGGAGACGGUCGCAAGACUGAAACUCAAAGGAAUUGACGGGGGCCCGCACAAGCGGUGGAGCAUGUGGUUUAAUUCGAAGCAACGCGAAGAACCUUACCAGGUCUUGACAUCCUCUGACAACCCUAGAGAUAGGACUUCCCCUUCGGGGGCAGAGUGACAGGUGGUGCAUGGUUGUCGUCAGCUCGUGUCGUGAGAUGUUGGGUUAAGUCCCGCAACGAGCGCAACCCUUGAUCUUAGUUGCCAGCAUUCAGUUGGGCACUCUAAGGUGACUGCCGGUGACAAACCGGAGGAAGGUGGGGAUGACGUCAAAUCAUCAUGCCCCUUAUGACCUGGGCUACACACGUGCUACAAUGGACAGAAC